CGGAAAUGUUGUAAACUGGUCCUCUUUCAUCAUCGUAUCUAAAGGAUGUGCUGGACAGCCUGGAUUUUAAACAGAUAUACAGAUGACUAUUGAAGUUGUUGCUGUUUACACUUACAACAAAAGGAGAAACAGGUUCAAACACGCUGUCCUGGGAACACCUCGGAUAAGGAGGCACGACAAAA